rnacentral:SRP_RNA from 1 species
GCCAGGCAUGGUGGCACAUACCUGUAGUCCCAGCUAUUUAGGAGGAGGCUGAGGGGAGGAUUACUUGAGCCCAGGAGUUCUGGGCUAUAGUGUGCUAUGCUGAUUACAUGUCCACACUAAGUUGGGCAUCAGUAUGGUGACUUCCUGGGAGCAGGGGACCACCAGGUUGUCUAAAGAGGGAUGAACUGACCUAGGUUGGAAACAGAGCAGGUCAAAACUCCUGGGCUGAGGAACAGUAGGACUAAGCCUGUGAAUAGCCACUGUACUUUAGCCUGGACAUCACAGCAAGAAUCCGUCUCU